CAGGUAUGGUACUGUCGGCCAUGGUCGCUCUGCGAAAAUGUCCAACGAAUCGAACAUCGGCAGAGCCGUCCUGGCGGCUAUACAACAUUUUUCAACAGCGACAGCAACCGCCUCAGGGCCGCCACAGGCCACCUGGAGAGGAAGGCUUGGGAUUGGGAAUCCUUUGCGUUUGUCUGGGUCUCCGAUUUGACCAGAAAAAAGAGAUCCAAACACUACAAAUACAGAGACGAUAGAAGAUGGUGUCCCCUCACCUGAGGUAUCCCUGCAGCAACAGCUGCACGAUCACAGCUUCACACUGCAGCCG